rnacentral:rRNA from 1 species
GUGGGGAAUAUUGGACAAUGGGCGCAAGCCUGAUCCAGCCAUGCCGCGUGAGUGAUGAAGGCCCUAGGGUUGUAAAGCUCUUUCACCGGUGAAGAUAAUGACGGUAACCGGAGAAGAAGCCCCGGCUAACUUCGUGCCAGCAGCCGCGGUAAUACGACGGGGGCUAGCGUUGUUCGGAAUUACUGGGCGUAAAGCGCACGUAGGCGGACCUUUAAGUCAGGGGUGAAAUCCCGGGGCUCAACCCCGGAACUGCCUUUGAUACUGGGUGUAUGGAGUAUGGAAGAGGUAAGUGGAAUUCCGAGUGUAGAGGUGAAAUCCGUAGAUAUUCGGAGGAACACCAGUGGCGAAGGCGGCUCACUGGCUCGAUACUGACGCUGAGGUGCGAAAGCGUGGGGAGCAAACAGGAUUAGAAACCCUUGUAGUCC